rnacentral:lncRNA from 1 species
AGUUACAGACUCCCAGUUAUUAACAGAAUAUCUGCUUUUGGCUCCUUUUGCUUUUCUCUGAAUUCGAGGAAGGGAAGAAGAUCGAAGGGAAGAAGAUCGUAGACCGAGGGUCGGGUCUGCACUGCAGUGCUCUGACUCAGCGCACUCCUUGGGAGUGGCUAGGAAAUGUUUGAUACGGGCCCACGUCAGCUGGAUCCACGCCCCUCGUUACUUUUAAGAGCAAAGGCUUCACACCGGAUGCUCAAUGUCGUUCUUACUGCGGAGUACUUCGGGUUCUCGUUCACCCCUCUAAUACCCUCGGAGAGCUCGACGUGGGCCUUUUCCAGGGAGGCCUCUGGCCCUGAACUCGCCUUUCCAGUCCUAUUUCGUUUUAUCUUCUGGGAAGACGGAAGGGCCUGUGUUUCUGGUGUGAUUGGUUCAGAUCAGAGCAGCUCUCGCUGGUUUUGUGUAAGACCAAUGCUAGUGACAGCAAUGACGAUGGCCUCAUCCCGGGAUGUGGCUGACUUGACUGGUGGUCCUUUCCAUGUGCCAAUGGAUGCAGUUCUUGCAUCAGUCCCACAAGGCAGGUGCAGAAUUAUGAUCAUCCCGG